GCUGAUGUGGCUCAGGGGUAGAGCAGCGCACUCGUAAUGCGCAGGUCGUCGGUUCGAAUCCGACCAUCAGCUCCA
rnacentral:tRNA from 1 species